CGGGAGCGGUAGUUCCGCCGCGCCCCGCGCCCCGCGCCGCGUCCCCGGCUCUGUGAGUGGAGGAGCCGCGAGGGAGCGUGCGCCGAGUCACGCUUCGGGCUGCGACGCAACCGCCGCCAGCCGGCGAGUUGCCGCCAACCGCCUUAACGGCCCAAACAAUGUUAGUGGCUUUCAGUGUGGCGGCGCGUUCACAUUAUCGUCUUCCUGUCCCUUUCGUCAUUUGAUACGGAGUAGGUGGUCUCCAUAGUGACUUUUAAAUUUCACAUUUCUUUGAUAACCUUUGUGAGGGGCUGCGAGUCGGAAGUGUUCGGAGGCAUUUGCUUUGGUUACUACGAAGGCAGGUGCACGAACCGCUUGGGAGCCGGGUGAGUGCGGUCCCCCCUCGCCACCAGCCGCAGCCCCGCGAAUGCAGAAAAGUCCUAGGUAUUAAGUUGCACAAAUUUGAAAAGUGUCUACCAGAGAACCCUCCAAAAAUCGUCACUGUUCACCAAGGGGCGGUUGUUGCUCAGAAAUUCAUUAAGAAACUCAUCACUUGGGCAUUUGCCUAAGAUUCUUUGAAUGUAUGUGGUCCUUGACAACGAUAUUAUUGGUUACAAUGAUGUACUCGGUAGAUAAAAUUACUGUGGUUUGAUACCACCAAUUCCUGGAAAAUAUUUACUUCGGCUAAAAGAACACUAAUGCAUUGAAGUUAGUUUAAAAACAAAAAGUUUAUUUUCUACCUAUUGGGUACAUUGUACUACAAUACACAGGUAACAAUGUAUCCUUCAGUUUGCCCUAUAAUUAGCCUUGUUAAUGAAAAAUAUUAAGAGCAAAUGAUAUGUAAUACUGUUUCUAAAAGUUAAACUUUUUUAAAACAAGAGGUUACGUCAUUAGGGAAAGUACGAGGACUCCUUUGUAAUAAUAAUGAUCUUCUAACUUAUUGGCUACAUAAAAUUAGGUUUGAAAUACCACAUUUUGUUAAGACAACUCCAUGUUUAUACAGAAAUUUAAACUAUCAGUACCUUUGGUUGGAUAUAAAUUGCAAAUAUUUAUAUAGAAUAUUUUAUAUGAAGAUGUUAACAAAAGAUAGCUAUUUCAUUGAUUACUUUUCUAGGACUGGGAAUUGAGUAACUUUGGUUAAAAUUUACCCCAAUGUACAUUAUAUAAUGUCUUGUUAGUUGGUAAAGCCAAUGUUAAAAAAUGAGUAUUAUUAUUUGCACAUUUUAUUCUCUUAAAUAUAACUUCUUACUACUCUGCUUUCCCACAAUAUUUGGGAAGAUAUGUGAAGAAUAAUCCAUUUAGGUAAAAAUAACUCCCCAAAAAUAGUUAUUGUCAGAAGCAGUAGUUUUGUACAACUGCAAGGUCAGAUUUUUUUUUAACUUCUUUUUUUUCUUUUAUACUAAACUCUGACAGUGUAAAACUUCAAUUGAGGUCUGGUUCUUACAAACCUCUUAAAUUUACAUUUAUGCUAGGUGAGGUGGUGUGUACCUAUAGUGCCAUCACUGGAGAGCUGGGUGGUAAGAGCACUUGAGACCAGGCAGAGCAGCAUAGCAAAACUCAGACUCAAGAAUACCCAAAACAGACAGCCUUGGUGGUGCAGGUCUGUAAUCCCAGUGUCUCUGUAGGCUGAGGCAAGAAGAUCCGGAGUUCAAAGCCAGACUCAGCAACCUAUCAAGGCCCUGAGCAACUCAGCAAGUCUCUGUCUCUAAAUAAAAUAUAAAAAGGGUUUGGGAUGUGGCUCAGUGUUUAAGCACCCCUGAGUUCAAUCCCCAGUACCAACAAAAGAAACCCCCAAACAAAAAAUGUGCAUUUAAAUAGGAUAACUUCCAAAAAUGAAAAAGAAAUCUGCCGCAGUCUGGCUGGGCACAAUCAGGAGCCACUUGUCAAAAGAAACUAACUUUAUUUUUAGAACCACACACGCCAAACAAAACAGCCUCUCAGGAAAAACCCUCAGAGCCUCAACUGCCACCACCGGCUUUCCACAAGCCUCUCUCUCCCACCCCAGCUUCUCUCCACCUCCCACAAUCCUCCUGCUCUUGAGGCUGAUUGGCUGGGUCACGUGGGCGGAGCCAAAAAAGUCCCCCAAUGAGCAGCUCCGUGGUCUGAAAGGGCAGGGAAACAGCCCAAUGAGCAUCACCGCAGAGGAGCCAAUCAGCUAGAUGUUGCUGGGGCCGAGGAGCCAAUCAGCUAGAUGUUGCUGGGGCCGCUGUGAGCCAAUCAUCAGCCAGCAGCUGGAAGUUUGCUGGCAGCUGGAAGUUUGCUGG